GAUGAACGCUGGCGGUAUGCUUAACACAUGCAAGUCGAACGGUCACUUCGGUGAUAGUGGCGGACGGGUGAGUAACGCGUGAGAAUCUGUCUUCAGGUCGGGGACAACAGUUAGAAAUGACUGCUAAUACCGGAUGUGCCUUUGGGUGAAAGAUUUAUUGCCCGAAAAAGAGCUCGCGUCAGAUUAGCUAGUAGGUGGUGUAAGAGACUACCUAGGCUCCGAUCUGUAGCUGGUCUGAGAGGACGAUCAGCCACACUGGAACUGAGACACGGUCCAGACUCCUACGGGAGGCAGCAGUGGGGAAUUUUCCGCAAUGGGCGAAAGCCUGACGGAGCAAUACCGCGUGAGGGACGAAGGCUUUUGGGUCGUAAACCUCUUUUCUCAAGGAAGAUGAUGACGGUACUUGAGGAAUAAGCAUCGGCUAACUCUGUG
rnacentral:rRNA from 1 species